rnacentral:misc_RNA from 1 species
AUGGCUUUCUCAAAGACCCUUCUUGCAUUCUGAAUACACUUUUUCUUCUGUUCUUCCACUGAAUCUGCACCCUCAACAAUCUCUUCCAUGGCAGCUGCCUCAAAUUUAGCAUAACUAAUCCAAACCUUUAAAUGCUUUGUUCGGUCCAAUAGUCUCUCAUAAAGCUGUCUUGUUCUGUCAUAUUCACCUUCGGAUAUUUCAAAAUCAAUAUAUGCCUUCCACAA